UAUUAUUAUUAUUCUUUAAAGAAAUAAAAACUACCCUAAAAAGUGUGUGCUUGCCGCAUCUGCAAUGAAGAGGACGACCUCCUGACAUAUGGUGUGCCGCGGUGGAUACUAUAUUUCGAGGGACAUACCAUGUGUCACGAGUGGUAACUAUAUUUCGAGAAACCUAUGAACACCAUGAUGGAUACUAUAUACUGAGGGUCAUAUUGCACGCCACAAUAGAUACAUGGACAGAUAUGUCUCCAAUUUGUCCCAGACUAAAAGACAGCGGGUGUGUAUCGUUAGGGUGGACAUGCAUCACUAUACUUGACAUUGCAUUUAAUUGCAUUGCACAUUUUUAGCAUUGCUAAACUUUAUAUUGUGUGUUGUGAUCUUGUGAGUGUCUUUCUGUGGAACUUUGAUCGAUGAAUAUUGAGCUUGUUGUUGAGAAAUAUUAGAGUGUUGUUGUUAA